UCCAGACUCCUACGGGAGGCAGCAGUGAGGAAUAUUGGUCAAUGGGCGGGAGCCUGAACCAGCCAAGUCGCGUGAGGGAAGAAGGUACUGAGUAUUGUAAACCUCUUUUGCCAGGGGACAAAGGCGGCCACGGGUGGCCGUAAGAGGGUACCUGGAGAAAAAGCAUCGGCUAACUCCGUGCCAGCAGCCGCGGUAAUACGGAGGAUGCGAGCGUUAUCCGGAUUUAUUGGGUUUAAAGGGAGCGUAGAUGGGUUGUUAAGUCAGUUGUGAAAGUUUGCGGCUCAACCGUAAAAUUGCAAUUGAUACUGGCAGCCUUGAGUACAGUUGAGGUAGGCGGAAUUCGUGGUGUAGCGGUGAAAUGCUUAGAUAUCACGAAGAACUCCGAUUGCGAAGGCAGCAUACGGCAGCGCUACUGACGCUGAAGCUCGAAGGCGCGGGUAUCGAACAGGAUUAGAUACCCGCGUA
rnacentral:rRNA from 1 species